AAUUGACGGGGGCCCGCACAAGCAGCGGAGCGUGUGGUUUAAUUCGAUGCAACACGAAGAACCUUACCAGGGCUUGACAUGCCGGAAGUAGGAACCUGAAAGGGGGACGACCUGUAAAGUCAGGAGCCAGCACAGGUGCUGCAUGGCUGUCGUCAGCUCGUGCCGUGAGGUGUUGGGUUAAGUCCCGCAACGAGCGCAACCCUCGUUGCCAGUUAACUUCUCUGGCGAGACUGCCCCGCAAAACGGGGAGGAAGGUGGGGAUGACGUCAAGUCAGCAUGGCCUUUAUGCCCUGGGCUACACACACGCUACAAUGGGUAGUACAAUGGGCAGCAAUGGAGCAAUCCGGAGCUAAUCCAAAAAGCUAUCCUCAGUUCGGAUUGCAGGCUGAAACCCGCCUGCAUGAAGUUGGAGUUGCUAGUAACUGCAGGUCAGCAUACUGCGGUGAAUACGUUCUCGGGCCUUGUACACACCGCCCGUCACGUCAUGAAAGUCGGCAACACCUGAAGUCGAUGGGCUGACCCCGGUUCUCCGGGGGGGCAGUCGCCGAGGGUGGGGUCGGUGAUUGGGACGAAGUCGUAACAAGGUAACC
rnacentral:rRNA from 1 species